ensembl:lncRNA
GGGUGGGGGGGGGAGACGUUCUCAGCCCCGCCCAUCUGCUUGCUUUAGAUGGCGGCGCCAUUGAUCGGACACACUGCUGCUCAUGGCUCGUUUGGAGUUGGACUGAGCAAUGAGAGCCUGCACACGGUUUGUGAUGGUGGAGGGGGGGGUGGGGAGGGGAACAUGGAGGGAGAAAACAUUUCAGAAUACUGGCUGAGGUGAGCAUGUUUAGACCCCCCUCUGCAGUCAUUUCUUCUUCCGAUUGGUCCAUCGCCGCGUGCUCAUCUAACCAAGAGGAAGGGAAGCGAUAAUGGAGCAGGGACAUCGCUUCAAGCUGUGGAAAACUUGUAGAAGCGGAAAAAACAAAGCGCCGAAUGAAAAAAAAAAAAAGAACCUGCAUAAUUACUGUGACUACUGUGAAAAAAGCAUAAUUGGUUUUCAUCCUUGUGGUUAUCGCACGAUGAUGGACGCCAAGAUUUAAUGAGAGGACGGCCAACAUCUCUGGGUUGGUUGAUAUGAAGAAAGAAAAGACAUGAAAAGAAAGGAAGGACACAAAGAUUGAGCCUGUGAUUCGAAGUGGGAGCUCUGUGGUCCAGUCGUUCUCGUUCUGAAGCUCUGCGUGAGGCCGCGGGCGUCUUUGGAACGUGCCACAUUUAAAUAAACCCCCUUGUGGUAAAGGAUACGACGUCUUAAGACAAACCACAGCCGGAUGGAAAAGUUGAGAAAGACGAUAACAAAAUGAAAGAGCAAGUGGAAGAUCACAGAAGCAGACAGAGACUCUGAGAGUGCUGGAAAAGAGGCAAAAAGAAAGUUGAGGGAAGACGAUAACGCUCAAUAGAAUAUUCAUGAAUGUCGCCUCAUAUUCAUUCAUGCUCAGCUGCUGGUGAUGAUGGAGCCUUGGCAACUGAUAAGUAUGCUCUCACAUGCUGCAAUCCAACAGCCCUCCAACAGCCCCCAGCAUCCUGCCCCCUUAAUCCUGAACCUCCAUUUCGACUCCCCCCCCCCGCCCCCCCCGGCUGCGGCAGGCCCGGACCGCCGUCUUCCCGGGAACCCUCCGAGGCUCCUGGUGCUCGCUGUGUGUAAUAUGAUCAGGCUGGACUGGAGCGCCGCGUCACACGACCUCGGCUUGCUGUGGAGAGAAUUUUGGAUUGAGGGAAAGUCACAAUUUUCUCUCUCACAAGACUGACUGGAUGGUGGUGUUGGUGCACCGUGUUGGUGCACCGUGUUGGUGCACCGUGUUGGUGCACCGUGUUGGUGCACCGUGUUGGUGGCGAGGCAUCGGGUGCACGGGUGCAGCAGUAUGCAGCUACAUUGUAACUUAAAGCAGCACGCAGGUUCAAAGGUGUUAAACAGUAUACAGACACUCGGCUGUCUUUACAAGGUCACAUUUCCGAGUAGUGGCUAAUAGAAGCUACUUGCAUAAGUAAAGCAACACAGAUCUAAAGGAACUUAGAGUAGAAAAUCAGAGGCGGUGGAUUUCCAGGAUAAUGUGAUCUUCAUAUCUGAUAAACGAUGGGAGACUUAAGGGUCUUUCGCCUUCAAUCAGCUGGCAAACAAGCCUUCAACUGCAAAACUUUGAAAAUCCCUUCAAUUGGCCACUGUUUUUGUUCUGCGGCUCUUUCGUGGUGUUUCUUUGUCUCCUCUGGAAUUAAGUCUAGAUUUAAUUAUUAUUAUUCCACAAUUCCCAAUUUCCUUCUAACGGCAACGUUCAAGCGGCAGCGCAGGAAGGGAUCCUUGAGUGGCGGUGUGGCAGUGUGGCUGUCAAAUGGGCGUGUGGCUCAUCAGACAGUCAUUCAAAUGUGUGUUUGCUUUUAAUUGGGCUCAAUUUAUUUGAAGGUUAUCCAGAAGUUCUUCAGAAAAAGAUAUCGAUGCGUUCGUUACUGAUACCAAUCAAUGUUUUUAUCUGUGCUACGCAUUGAACAUGAGGCAUGACUACAUUGAAGCUUAGCGUAAUGCUGUUUCCACCACCACACUUUCAUCUGGCAUCCAGGGACUUGUGAGUCCAUCCGGAGCGUCGUCAUUCAGGGAAGGAGGCUUCUUAUCACGUCCUUCAUAAAGGCGGCAUAUGUUUGGAUAUAUAUAUAUAUAUAUAUAUAUAUAUAAAUGAACCCCUGUUGAAUGGUGCAGGUGCCUUGUGUGAAAGAGUCCUGCAUGGAAACUGAUCCCGUCAACAACAUCUGCCUCCAGUUGGCUCCUCGUCACGUCACACCGUCCUAUUCAACACCUCCAUUCAUUCAUCCAUCCAUUCAUUCAUUCCCACAUUAUGCGGCAUCUAACUCCGACAUCCACCCUCGUUCAGGUCCCCCCUCCUCUUUCCACACCGACCGAGGGCACCGUUCCCUCGGCUUCAUGCUCACGCGUCGCCAUGGCAACUGGCAAACAGAGCCGCUCGGCGUUGGUGCUUGUUGCUACUUGCCACAGCGCUCGAUGCCGCGUGGCGUUGCGUACUCACAACCGGGGGGAAAGGGCGUCUUCGCCGCACGCUUCGUUAUCCAGCCCAUCUGCUCUACGUGUGGGCUCACGGAUAUUGUUGUAGUGUGAACUCCAGCUGUGACGCCGGACCUGUUUUUGGUGUUUAAUGGGACAUUUUUACUAUUUGUUUCAAAAAAGCAGAUGUUUAUGUUUGGUGUUAGAAGCGAUAGAGAUACAAGUAUCACUAAUAAAAAAGCUCUCUGAUUACUGAGAUGCCCUCAAAUGUGUGAGGAACAACAUUCUACGGCGGAGCAGAUGUUGCUGCAGACACACCUGGGGGGGUGUCUGCACCUCUGCUGGGUCCACCUUUCUACUCGAGUUUUCAUUUUGAUCCACAAUUUCUCUUUGCCCACGUUCCAGCAACUCAAACCAUCUCCGAGCACGGACGCGCGUUUGACUCCCAAACAUAAGGUGUAGUUUGCUUGUGCAGAUGAUUAAAGCACCCAGGUACGACGUCUGUUCUUUGAGGCAUCCAGAUCUAUUCCUCCCAUUGCGGUCGCAGCUUCAUCCAUAACAGUGAUGGCCAUCUCUGAAAGAUGAGCGUCUGCAUGCUUGAGGAGCUGAAGUUGAGCGUUUAUCAGAGAAUUUGAUGUUUUAAGCUAGUGGGCUAAAGAAUUACAUCAUUUAUUUAUUCAUCAUCACAACAUUCAUCCCUAGCCGGGCAUGAAUGUGUCAACUUUAUACUGAUAGUUAUUGAGACAUUUCACUAAAUCAAAAGUUUAUCUCGUUUGUAACGCUGCCACGGUAACACACACACACACACACACACACACACACACACACAAAAUCUUCCACUUACUGAACACCUUUUAUCCUCAGCUUUGCCUCGCGGUAACCUAUCGAUACCAGUCUGAUCUCCAGAAUAAUAAUAUCUGUAGGCUUUAUGUCCCGUUGACAUAUUGCUGAUUGAAAAGGGCUCGAUUGGGACUACAGCCCGUAGCACAGACGUCAUUGAUUUGCAAUGAACCUGCGAAACAGUUUGGGUACGUUCAUUUAUCGCACCCAGGCGUGCGUCCAUGCCGGGUGUGAAGCCUCCCUGCACGUUGUCUUUUACAGCCUGAACUGCAUCCGAGGCAUCGGGGUUUAAACCCGACGUCUCCCCUCAUUCGUCAUCCGUCUCCCUCGAUGAAAAUCAGGCAACCAAAGGCAAACCGGCCCAUUGCGGUUGGUGAAGGUUGCACGUAUCAAAUAAAUAAUGAAAUCCAUCCUGAACCUUAGAUUGAAAAAGCAAUCUCAGUAACGACAUCGUGUUUAGGAAAUAUAAUCUGUUUACGUCCAGCCCAAUUCAUUUCUCCUUUUCAGCUCUGCAGAAAAACCUUCUAGGCCGUCUGACUCUUCGUUAGCUGGAUUGAGCAAAUUGCUGUAAGUAAAAUCAGCUGUGCACUCAAGAUCAGAUGGGAGAAGUAACCUGUUGCCCCCUUUUUGGUUUU